rnacentral:lncRNA from 1 species
CUGUAUUAUUAUAAUUUGUAUAAGAGUAAAAUAUGUUGUUUUCAUUUGAGAGAAAAGGCAAAAGGGGCUGAAGCCUGGCGGCUUCAUAAUUCUUUAUUUUCUCUCUUAGUUCUGCCAUUCAAGCCAAGCCUAAAGCGCAUCUUUUGGCAGAAGAAAAUAAAGAAAAAAUAAUGUAUGUACUAGUUGUUGUGGAAUAUUAUGCGAGUUAGAAGUUAGUCGAACUAAAUAUUAUGUAGUUCUAAAAAAUGAUUAGUCUGCCUCUUGUUCUAAAAAAGAAGAAGUUCAUUUCGUACCGUUGAGUUUAAAACAGCAAUAAUGAUAAUAUGUAGUGAAGAAAAAGAAGGAAUUCUUCUUCUUCUUUUCUUGUGUUCUGCAGGUGAGUGCUUCUUUUUUCCAACAACGUGUAACAGUAUGACGAUGAAGAACAAGAAGGCUUCCACGUCAAACUCCUAUGAAUUUUUCUCCCCUCCCCCCAACAGGUUAUACUUUUUUCCCAUUUUUCGAAAUACCUGGGAGCCCUUCCUCCACCACCUCCUCCUCUUCAGGUUGAAUCUUAUAGAGUAUACUAUGGAUUCUGUACUCCUAUCUAAAUAAUAUUUUCUCCCAAACAGUACUUAAUAAUUAUGACGUUUUUUUAGGGCGCGUAGGUCAAAAGGUCUUGGUAGAACCAUCCUACUACCUAUGAGUACUGAGUCUCUAUAGAGGAAGAAAUAAUAUAUGUAGUAAAACACUCUAGCCUUGAGAACUGUAGAGAAAUAAUAAUAAUAACAAAAAUAAUAAUAAAAAAAACCACCUCAAGCCAAUUUAUGUGUAUUUUACCUGGCUUGUCUGUUAAAAACCAUAGCUGAAGUGAAUGGUUUUCGGGCGUGCACACGCUGUUUUGUAUUAAAUAUAUAUUAUAUUAUUUUUCAUCAUGAUUUCAGUAUCCAUUGGCAAGAAGAUGUUGUUGAGAAUUCAUAAGUGAUUGGAGCCUUGGAUGGAUCAGAUCUCCCUAAAAAAGGAAAAUCAACACUUCCUACAUCAUCAAUUUCACUACAAUAUACAUUAAUUCAACAGCAACGAUAUUUGAAAGCGAACAUCUUGUAUAUAAAGAAUAGGAAGGAACCCUUCUUCUCCCACUCCCACUUCAAGAGGAGGACAAACUCCUAGGACUACUCCUUCUUUUGGACGAGAAAUAUCAACAUCACCUUCAACAUCUUUCAAUAAGACCCCAUACGUAUUCUACCCUGUUGAUCCGGGCUUUUGUAGAACUUAACUUAUCGACAUUCGUUGGAAUAAUACAAACAAGCAUUUGUUUGAUUUGUAUUGCAAAAACAAUUUCGAUUGUUUCAGAAGCUCGACUCUACAGGUAUCGUACUGUAUGGUUACAAUUCAUCUCUUCAAUCCCAGCUCACGACUGCAAUUUGCAUAAGAAGGAACACGAAAUAUAAGUACUCUAAAUCCCGAAGAGUUCUACUCUUCUUAUAAGUUAUAAUUUUUAUAUUUCUCUAUCUCUCAUUUAUUCCAAAAUCUAUCCUAACUUCUUCCCAAAUUAAAGAAUAAUAACACUCUUUCUACAUCCAUCAUCCUUUGAAUAUUCAGACAGUGUGUGAAAAAGGCCUCAAAAAUAGGUUGUAAGGUCUACUUAGAACGUAUGUAUUAGUAAUACAAUCACCACUCAUUUCGCGCGUAAAUACGAUUUAAUAAGCGACAAAAAAUAUCAAAUUACUUCUUAUAAAUUUUAUGCAAAAAAAAAAAAAAGAAAUAGUCAUUUGUUGUACAUAAUAUAUAGCUCCUACAGGGCGUUUAGAAUUAUUUUAUGAACAACAUGCAAAUGUUUUUUAAAGAGAGAGUUAAAAUUUUUUAUUUUCCUUCCUUCCUUCCUUUUUUUUUUUUUUUUUUUUUUGAACAAUGAUGAUAAUUACAGAAAUUAUUCACAAGCAAAGUUUCAUAUGUGUAAUUCUUCUGUAGAAAAAUGCCCUAAGCGUUCUACAGGUGUCGUCUACAAUACAUAUUAUGUGGAUAAGGUAAAAGAAUACCUUCCCCAUACUAAAUAAAUCAACAGAGCGGCGCAUCUGUGUUGUCGUGUAUUUAGUUGUUGGUCUAUAGAGUGUGCACCUAUACAGACUACCGCUGUCUGCUACCUCCUUGUUGUUUUGUCGGUUUAAAAAUACAAUCAAGGAUUUCGUAGCUAUUGUUAUGAUUAUAAUGCUAUCAAUAACAUGUUUAAAAAGAUAUUUAACAGAGAGUUUCUUUCCAUACAUUGUUAGAUAUUAAAGUCUUUCUUUUUAUUAAAAUUUUUUUAGUUGAAUAACAUAUACUAUCUAAAGAUUUGAAAUACAUUAUAUUUUAUACUAUAUAUUAAAAUAGAAUUGAUCGACAGGAAAUGGGAAGUGAGAGUGGAUAAGAAAAUUAUGAAAGAAAUAUUGUUUUGUAUUUUCUAAAUUAUAUAUUUUUUACUUUAUAAUACUUAUAUAUAUAUUUUAUAAAUAAAACUAUUUACUUUUUAA